rnacentral:rRNA from 1 species
UUGGAGGGCAAGUCUGGUGCCAGCAGCCGCGGUAAUUCCAGCUCCAAUAGCGUAUAUUAAAGUUGUUGCAGUUAAAAAGCUCGUAGUUGAAUUUCGGGGUUAGUAGGUUGGUCAUGCCUCUGGUAUGCACUGGUCUCACUGAUUCCUCCUUCCUGAUGAGCCGUAAUGCCAUUAAUUUGGUGUUGCGGGGAAUUUGGACUGUUACUUUGAAAAAAUUAGAGUGUUUAAAGCAAGCUAACGCUUGAAUACAUUAGCAUGGAAUAAUGAAAUAGGACGUUCGAUCCUAUUUUGUUGGUUUCUAGGAUUGACGUAAUGAUUAAUAGGGAUAGUUGGGGGCAUUAGUAUUCAAUUGUCAGAGGUGAAAUUCUUGGAUUUAUUGAAGACUAACUACUGCGAAAGCAUUUGCCAAGGAUGUUUUCAUUAAUCAAGAACGAAAGUUAGGGGACCGAAGACGAUCAGAUACCGUCGUAGUCUUAACCAUAAACUAUGCCGACUAGGGAUCGGAUGAUGUUAAUUUUUUAAUGACUCAUUCGGCGCCUUACGGGAAA